rnacentral:rRNA from 1 species
AGGGGGAUAACUACUGGAAACGGUAGCUAAUACCGCAUGACCUCGAAAGAGCAAAGUGGGGGACCUUCGGGCCUCACGCCAUCGGAUGUGCCCAGAUGGGAUUAGCUAGUAGGUGAGGUAAUGGCUCACCUAGGCGACGAUCCCUAGCUGGUCUGAGAGGAUGACCAGCCACACUGGAACUGAGACACGGUCCAGACUCCUACGGGAGGCAGCAGUGGGGAAUAUUGCACAAUGGGCGCAAGCCUGAUGCAGCCAUGCCGCGUGUGUGAAGAAGGCCUUCGGGUUGUAAAGCACUUUCAGCGAGGAGGAAGGCGUUAAGGUUAAUAACCUUNGCGAUUGACGUUACUCGCAGAAGAAGCACCGGCUAACUCCGUGCCAGCAGCCGCGGUAAUACGGAGGGUGCAAGCGUUAAUCGGAAUUACUGGGCGUAAAGCGCACGCAGGCGGUUUGUUAAGUCAGAUGUGAAAUCCCCGAGCUUAACUUGGGAACUGCAUUUGAAACUGGCAAGCUAGAGUCUUGUAGAGGGGGGUAGAAUUCCAGGUGUAGCGGUGAAAUGCGUA